UACGGGGGGGGCAAGCGUUGUUCGGAAUUACUGGGCGUAAAGAGCUCGUAGGCGGUUUGUCGCGUCUGCUGUGAAAACUCGGGGCUUAACCCCGGGCCUGCAGUGGGUACGGGCAGACUAGAGUGCGGUAGGGGAGACUGGAAUUCCUGGUGUAGCGGUGAAAUGCGCAGAUAUCAGGAGGAACACCGGUGGCGAAGGCGGAUCUCUGGGCCGUAACUGACGCUGAGGAGCGAAAGCAUGGGGAGCGAACAGG
rnacentral:rRNA from 1 species